rnacentral:rRNA from 1 species
AGAGUUUGAUCCUGGCUCAGAUUGAACGCUGGCGGCAUGCCUUACACAUGCAAGUCGAACGGCAGCGCGGGGCAACCUGGCGGCGGGUGGCGAACGGGUGAGUAAUAUAUCGGAACGUACCCUGGAGUGGGGGAUAACGUAGCGAAAGUUACGCUAAUACCGCAUACGAUCUAAGGAUGAAAGUGGGGGAUCGCAAGACCUCAUGCUCCUGGAGCGGCCGAUAUCUGAUUAGCUAGUUGGCGGGGUAAAAGCCCACCAAGGCAACGAUCAGUAGCUGGUCUGAGAGGACGACCAGCCACACUGGAACUGAGACACGGUCCAGACUCCUACGGGAGGCAGCAGUGGGGAAUUUUGGACAAUGGGCGCAAGCCUGAUCCAGCAAUGCCGCGUGAGUGAAGAAGGCCUUCGGGUU